rnacentral:lncRNA from 1 species
UUUUUUUUGUUUUAGUUAUUUAUUUUAAUUGUUUUAUUAUAGGGUUAAGUACUUUUACUUUUUUACCCUUUUCAAUUAGUCAAAAAUUGGUCAAUGUUUAAUUUUAUUGAUCAACUAACGGUCAAACGGACGGUUUCCAUCCAUUUGGACUUCAGGUACGGAUUUUUGAAAGGUUUGGUACCUCCAGUGGCACAAACUAAAGGUUUGGGCAAAGUCUGCUAAUGAACGAAAGGUUUGAUAUCUCGGCUGCAAUUUUCCCUAAGAUUUAUACGUGUUUUUCAAAAUAAGCUCAAUUUUUUUCAAAGAUUAGAAUGGGUCAUGUUGCAUGCAUAUCGGAUUGAUGGAAUUGCUGUGAACUUAAAAGAGUCUUUUAGGAUGUUUUUAAUUAAUUGAACGCUU